AGAGCGAACGCUGGCGGCAGGCCUAACACAUGCAAGUCGAACGCCGUAGCAAUACGGAGUGGCAGACGGGAUAGUAACACGUGGGAACGCGCCCUUCGGUUCGGAAUAACUCAGGGAAACUUGAGCUAAAUACCGGAUACGCCCUUACGGGGAAAGAUUUAUUGCCGAAGGAACGGCCCGCGUCGGAUUAGCUAGUUGGUGAGGUAAUGGCUCACCAAGGCGACGAUCCGUAGCUGGUCUGAGAGGAUGACCAGCAUCACUGGGACUGAGACACGGCCCAGACUCCUACGGGAGGCAGCAGUGGGGAAUAUUGGACAAGUGGGCGCAAGCCUGAUCCAGCCAUGCCGCGUGGAUGAUGAAGGCCCUAGGGUUGUAAAGUCCGUUUUAACGGGGAAGAUAAUGACGGUACCGUAGAAUAAGCCCGGCUAACUUCGUGCCAGCAGCCGC
rnacentral:rRNA from 1 species